AUUCUUUCAUCUCAUGCCCCAAAAGCUCCCAAUAGGAUGGAUCCCCAAAACCAAAGAUGUUGCCAUUUGACUUAGAACCUCUCCAGGAGAAGCUCACCAUCUAUUCAGCUCCUACAGAGGGCCCUGGACUGAAGAUUUAAAGUCUGCAUCUCCUUUCACUGAUGUAUUCAUUCAGCAAAAACGUGUCCAGUGAAUAACUUCUACCUGCCAAGCACUGUGCUGGGUACUAGGACAUAAAGACAGGAUUUCACUCUGCUGUCCAGGCUGAGUGCAGUGGCGUGAUCAUAGUGCACUGUAACCUGGAACCCUUGGACUCAGAUGAUUCUUCCCCCUCAACCUCCCAAGAAGCUGGGACUACAGAGAUGCGCCACCACACCCAGGUCCCUACUGUCUUAGCAGUCAGAGCCCAAGCCUGGUCCAGUCCAGCAGCUCAGCCAAUUCCCCAGAGAGUGAAACAAACCAACAAUUAGAAUCCUGGGCUUAGAAUGUGCAAAUGAAUGAGCCUCUGAUGCCAACAUUGAUGGGAACUUGGACAUAGAACUCAGACCGUUCGGAGUCAGAAGGGGCCAGCAGGAAAAAUGCUGCCUGGAGUCCACUGGGAUGCAAUUUCCAGAGCUGCCUCCUGGCUCCCUGGAGAGGUGCAUGGAGAAGAUUUAGACUCCAGUGACAGAACACACCUGGUAAUAACAACAGCAACCAUGACCCUUUACUGAGCACUUACCAGGUGCCUUAAAGAUGUUUCCUCAUUCAUUACUUGGAGCAACACCCUGUGAGGGAGGGAAAGGGGCAUGAAUCCACUUCACAAGAGAUAUCUCUGCUAAAAAUCUAGGAAUAGGAAGUUGUUUAUAUUGAUCUGACUGCAACAUCAGCCAGACAUCUUACCUUCGAGGGUUUCCAGGUCUCCAGAUUAUCAAUAUGCACACACUAAACUGAGACUAUGUUCAAAACACUGUGGAACUGAAUCCCUAACUGUUGACUAAAUGAAUAAUUAUUAGAAGUAGUAGAACUCCAAAGUCAAGGUUACUCCUGCUGCUUCAGUGUUUGAUCUUGGAGGUGGGAUUGUGUGUCACUUUUAAAAUGGGUCACAAUGGGGAAAAGGCUUAGGUCUUCUCACAGUGCUUCAUAUAGGCCCUCUGUCUAAGAACACAUUUUCGCUAGCUCUGAAAAUUGUUCCAUCAGAUUUGAGGAACUGUCAAAUUUUGGAACAGGGCUUAAAGUUAGGAGAGCACCCUUCUCCAUGCUAUUAUAAUAAGUGUCUUCUGGCAUUUCUUUUGCCUCCCAGGGAACAAUUGGCAAUGUUUAGAGACAUUUUUGGUUGCCACAAUUGAUGGGGUGCUACUGGCAUAUAGUACGUAGAGGCCAGGGAUGCUGCUAAACAUCCUACAAGGCACAGGACAGCACCUACCCCAACAAAAAACUAUCCAGUCCAGAAUGCUACAUGCCAGGGUUGGGAAAGCAUGGGCUACCCUGCUCUGAGAUGCUUGUUGAAAAGGUGGGGAUAUAAAUAUCAAAAUGAGAACAUUUCUCCCUCUUUUACAUUUCUUCUCCACUAUCAAAAGACCCAUUAAAUUCUGUGGGAUAUCUGUGCCCAGAGCACUGAGAGAGCCCAUGGGGAAAUUUAAGCAAAGAUCAAUAAUAAUCAUAAUGGGAACAACUCACAUUUGUAUAUCGCCUUAGUGUUUACCAAGUGCUCUCUUAUACGUUAACGCAACUGAAGCUGUGCUGGGGAAGGAAGUUGGAAAGAUUUCCCUGAGAAUAUUUCCCAUUUUACGCGUUUCCAGAAUUAACGCCUUAAAACAAAUUAGAAAUAGAUUAAAUGAGGUACCUUUGGUCAAACAGAAAAGCAAUUACAUGAUAGGAAAUUAUAAUAAUCCAUCACAGGCAUCUGGUUCCGAAUCCCAGAGCUGGUUGCAGUUUCCUCUGGCAUCUGCCGCUGAAUGCACAACUGCAGAAAGACAGUGCUCUUUGUCUCUGAGAUGCAAAGAUAAGAGCAGUUGCCCUGGAGGCGGUGUUAGAAGCAGGGACCCCAGCUCUCUCAGUGAUAAUUCAGGAGCACCCAGCAUUCAUUGAGUGUCCACGUAUUGGGCUCUAUGUGGCCUAUAGUGUGGAUGCCUCCAUGCUUAUUAUAAGUUCAUUUCUGAGCAUCAUAGUUUUGAAAGGUGAGGAUUAUUAAUUACUUGCGUGUGAUGGCUAAGGAAACAGAGAAGUUAUACAGCUUCCUCAGAGAAGACAGCUAAGGACAACUGGUAAGCCAGGAUUCAAACACUGGUCCGUCUGCUCCCCAAUUUAUGCAUUUUCUAUUACAUCAGUUGGGAUCUAUGAAUACAUGGUGCCUGGCACCCAGAAGGCACUGAGUAAACCUGUUAAUGUCAUUUUUAGAGAAAAAAUUAAAGAAAGAAAAAUCUACCGACAGCACACACACACACACACACACACACACAUACACACACACACACACACACCCCUCUCUUCUUCGGUGAAUUUCCCACCAAUGUUAAGGGAGUAUACUUGGCUUCUGUUCUUAUUCAAAACUAUUAUACCAAAAUAGCUGUUUUAUUAUCUAGGAACCUGAAAGCGAAUUCCCUAUUUGCUCAUGUUUACAUACAUGGAAGCUCUGUGAACACUGGGAUAUUCAAAUUUUUACCUCAUGUAUGCAAAUCUAAAUAUUUUCACUGCACCUUCACAGUAUCUUAAAUGCAAUCAUUUAUUUUUAAAAAACUUUUAUUUUGAGAUAAUGGUAGGUUUAAAUGUGGCUGCAAGAAAUGGUGCAGAAGGGUCUCAAACACCUUCCACUCAGCUUUCCCCAAUGGCAACAUCUUUCAUGACUAUAGUACAAGACGACAACCAAGGAAUUGCCAUUGGCAUCCAUCACACCUGACUUAAUUCAGAUUUCACCAGUUUUCUGCCCACUCGUUUGAGUAUGUGUUUAAUUCUAUGCAAUUUUAUCACAUGCGCACUUAUUUUAUUUUAUGGCAUGAUAUGUCCUCAUGUGACUUCAAUAUAAAUCAAAAUACAAAACAGUAAUAAAAUGCAUCUCUAAUGUAGACACAGUACUUCAAUUGAUUCAUUGAGGGUCAUCUCUAUGCCAGCCACUUUUAUUUAAAAAAAGAAAGAAAGAAACAGAAAGAAUACACAGCCCCUGCUGUCAUAGAACUUCUAAUCUCAUGGGAAAGGCAGGGAUAUAGAUAAUUAUAGGACCAAAAUGGGUACAAAAUGAAAAAAAAAAACCCUUAAUUAGUUGCAAAAAUAAUCAAGAUAAAUAAAAUUAUAUAUUUUGGUGCUUAUUAUGUUGGCCUUGAUCCCAAAGUCACUCGUACCUUUAACACUAUCUAUGUCUUAAUAUAUUAAUAGCACUCAUGUAACAUGUUUAACAUUUUAAAAUAUUAGCUUUAAUGAUCUAUCAA